rnacentral:rRNA from 1 species
CCUACGGGAGGCAGCAGCAGGGAAUCUUGCGCAAUGGGCGAAAGCCUGACGCAGCGACGCCGCGUGGGGGAUGAAGGUUCUAGGAUUGUAAACCCCUUUUGCUGGGGAAGAAGAUCUGACGGUACCCAGCGAAUAAGGCCCGGCCAACUACGUGCCAGCAGCCGCGGUAAAACGUAGGGGCCAAGCGUUGUCCGGAAUUACUGGGCGUAAAGCGAGUGUAGGCGGUUCGCCAAGUCGAUUGUGAAAUCUCCCGGCUCAACUGGGAGGGUGCGGUCGAUACUGGCGAGCUAGAGUGCGGAAGAGGAAGGUAGAAUUCCUGGUGUAGCGGUGGAAUGCGUANAUAUCAGGAGGAAUACCGGUGGUGAAGACGGCCUUCUGGGCCGCAACUGACGCUGAGACUCGAAAGCGUGGGGAGCAAACAGGAUUAGAUACCCUGGUAGUCCACGCCCUAAACGAUGCAUACUUGGUGUGGGCUCUUCACUGGGUCCGUGCCGGAGCUAACGCGUUAAGUAUGCCGCCUGGGGAGUACGGUCGCAAGGCUGAAACUCAAAUGAAUUGACGG